UGGGGAAUAUUGCACAAUGGGCGAAAGCCUGAUGCAGCAACGCCGCGUGAGCGAUGAAGGUCUUCGGAUCGUAAAGCUCUGUCCUCAAGGAAGAAUUUUGACGGUACUUGAGGAGGAAGCCCCGGCUAACUACGUGCCAGCAGCCGCGGUAAUACGUAGGGGGCUAGCGUUAUCCGGAAUUAUUGGGCGUAAAGGGUGCGUAGGCGGUCCUACAAGUCAGAGGUGAAAGGCUACGGCUCAACCGUAGUAAGCCUUUGAAACUGUAGGACUUGAGUGCAGGAGAGGAGAGUGGAAUUCCCAGUGUAGCGGUGAAAUGCGUAGAUAUUGGGAGGAACACCAGUUGCGAAGGCGGCUCUCUGGACUGUAACUGACGCUGAGGCACGAAAGCGUGGGGAGCGAACAGG
rnacentral:rRNA from 2 species